UUUCCCUUUUCUUCAGUGGGAGAAGGGGAAGAUUUAUUUUAAAAAAGAAAAGAAAAAGAGUCAUGAGCUUCAUUUCUUUUGUUUUUAAACCCUUACCUUACAUCUUGGAAUCAAUACUGUGUAUUUGUUCCAAGGCAGAAUAGUGGUAAGGGCUAAGCAAUGGGGGUCAAGUGACUUGACCAGAGUCACACAGUUGGGAAGUAUCUGAGACCAGAUUUGAACCUAGCACCUCCUGUCUCUAGGCCUGCCUCUCAAUCCACUGAGCGACCCAGCAGCUGCCCCUACAGAGUUUCAUUUGAAAACUCAGAGAAAAGAAAAUUAAAACAAGAAGAAGAAAACAAAGCCUCAGAGUUAAAUUGUAGUGAAGCUCAUAAAAAUCACAAA
rnacentral:lncRNA from 1 species